AUACGUAGGUGGCAAGCGUUGUCCGGAAUUAUUGGGCGUAAAGAGCAUGUAGGCGGAAAUUUAAGUCUGUUGUGAAAAUGCGGGGCUCAACCCCGUAUUGCGAUGGAAACUGGGUUUCUUGAGUGCAGGAGAGGAAAGGGGAAUUCCCAGUGUAGCGGUGAAAUGCGUAGAUAUUGGGAGGAACACCAGUGGCGAAGGCGCCUUUCUGGACUGUGUCUGACGCUGAGAUGCGAAAGCUAGGGGAGCGAACGGGAUUAGAUACCCCGGUAGUCCUAGCCGUAAACGAUGGGUACUAGGUGUAGGGGGUAUCGACCCCCCCUGUGCCGGAGUUAACGCAAUAAGUACCCCGCCUGGGGAGUACGGCCGCAAGGUUGAA
rnacentral:rRNA from 1 species